CCUACGGGACGCAGCAGUGGGGGAUAUUGCACAAUGGGGGAAACCCUGAUGCAGCGACGCCGCGUGGGCGAAGAAGUAUUUCGGUAUGUAAAGCCCUAUCAGCAGGGAAGAAGAAAUGACGGUACCUGAGUAAGAAGCACCGGCUAAAUACGUGCCAGCAGCCGCGGUAAUACGUAUGGUGCAAGCGUUAUCCGGAUUUACUGGGUGGAAAGGGAGCGCAGGCGGCACGGCAAGCCUGAUGUGAAAGCCCGCGGCCCAACCGCGGGACUGCAUUGGGAACUACCGGGCUGGAGUGCCGGAGAGGUAGGCGGAAUUCCUAGUGUAGCGGUGAAAUGCGUAGAUAUUAGGAGGAACACCAGUGGCGAAGGCGGCCUACUGGACGGUGACUGACGCUGAGGCUCGAAAGCGUGGGGAGCAAACAGGAUUAGAUACCCGGGUAGUC
rnacentral:rRNA from 1 species